GCACAACAGACCACCCCAUGAGAACCAUAGACGACCCAAAGUCAGAUGAGGACCCAUCACCAGUGCAUCUCUGGAUCCCUGGCAUCCAUUUCUGCUUUCUCCUCCAGCAUGUACUCAGGCACAAGUUGGUAACCACGACCCAGGCCUUCUAUCAGCACAUUCUUGUCUUCUACUCUGUGUAACAGGCUCAGGAUGGAUCAGCUACUGAAAAUAGACCAGUAAGAGUCUUGUUUGGGACUGUUCUGCCAGAUUUAUCAAGAAAGAGAUGCUUUUUGAAAGGAGUUUUUCAGUGAAAAGGAUGUGAACAAAAGCCUAUGAGAAGGAAGAGGUCCUGCUGAGAAAAGCAGAGCUCAGGAGAGAAGGAGGUGGAGGCCCUGGACUGCCAUGCCUGAAGCCUUCUGGACUCAGAGUCCUGAGCUAGCAUGUGUUACUCCUGUAAUUUUCUUAAAAAGAAAAAGUAUUCAGAAAUUUCCUUUAGUUCACCAUACAGACCUGUGAGCAGCUGCAAUAAACCACCUUUUGACUGUGAUCUGCCAAAACAGCGUGCUGAGGAAGGGGGACAGAAGCUUGUCAUUGGUGGAGGAACUCAGACAGUGGACCCUCAGAAGAAGAAACAUGCCAGCUGCUGGAGAGGAAAUGAAGGAGACUGUGAUGGAAGUGGGAUCUACAGUUCUGACUCAGACAAGCACUGGAGUGGAUCAGAGCUGACCCAGAGCUGAGUGGUAUGAAACAAGGAUGAAGACAAGACUAAAACAGUUACAGGAAGUCUGACUUUGGGGCUACGUCCACCAGGCUGACGGCUUCUCCCCUGGCUUCCACUUCUGUUUCACUGAUGGAAACCACCCUCAGGACAGCAGAAAGUGGAAGAAGGAUGGGAUUUUGGCAACAGACCUCAAACAUUUUGGUCUAAGGAGUCAUUUACAUUCUUAAAAGAUAAAAAUUAUUGUGUCUAUUGAUAUAAAUAAUUAACACAAAAGUU